rnacentral:rRNA from 1 species
UACGGGGGGGGCAAGCGUUGUUCGGAAUUACUGGGCGUAAAGGGCUCGUAGGCGGCCAACUAAGUCGGAUGUGAAAUCCCCAGGCUUAACCUGGGAACUGCGUCCGAUACUGGAUGGCUUGAAUUCGGGAGAGGGAUGCAGAAUUCCAGGUGUAGCGGUGAAAUGCGUAGAUAUCUGGAGGAAUACCGGUGGCGAAGGCGGCAUCCUGGACCGACAUUGACGCUGAGGAGCGAAAGCUAGGGGAGCGAACGGG